UUCACCUCUGUGUACACGAGGACUAACUAGCAUGUUGUUUACCUGAACAUAGCAGGCAGUCAUAUUGGUUAAGUGAACAAAUGUACUAUAAUUUUUUACAGUAGACUUUAACUUAUAUGGUCCUUAUUUAUUAACCCAAUAGAAAUUUAUCUACAGUGUGCUAAGAACUCUCUUAGGCAAGAUUCUGAGAUAAAAAUGAAUCAAAAUGCAGCAGCAUAAUGUUAAAAUACAGUUUUUGUUUUGAAAACAACACAUCAGUUAGACCUUUGAAGAUUUAAUUGGAAAGUCUCUGAUUCUCACUCUUUGGACCAUAUGGACCAGCCUCUUGACUGCUCUAUACUACAGACUCCUUGUUUAUAGCUAAACAAAUGAAAGGGUUAUUUUGAAUUACUAAUUGAUUAUCAAACUUUUAAAGCUAUUGCCAAGUCAUUAUGAAAUCUUUUGAAAUGUUUAGUACUUUCUGGCCUUGGCUUCUUGAUCUGAAUAAAAAUAAGGUGAAAAUGACGUUUUGUAAUUUCUUUGAAAUUACGUAUAUACUACCAAUCGAUAUUAUUACAUAAGAAAAAAUAAAGUAGAUCCAGUAACAACAAAA